rnacentral:lncRNA from 1 species
UAUACUCUAGAUUUACUUAAAGAUAUUAGAUUCAAAAAAAUUAACUUGGCAAAAUCGUUAACCCCUUGUAGAUGUUACUUCAUACAGCUAGCUAGUUGGUAAACUCUUGUUUCUUAACAACACCAGACUUGAUAUUUGCUAUUAUGUUCAACAACUUCCCUAGUUUCUUGAUGCUCUUAUUAAGAUACGUUUACAGGUUGCACCCCGAGUUUUAAAGGACUUAAAA